UACAGAGGUCUCAAGCGUUGUUCGGAUUCAUUGGGCGUAAAGGGUGCGUAGGUGGCGCUGUAAGUCGGGUGUGAAAUUUCGGAGCUUAACUCCGAAACUGCAUUCGAUACUGCGGUGCUUGAGGACUGGAGAGGAGACUGGAAUUCAUGGUGUAGCAGUGAAAUGCGUAGAGAUCAUGAGGAAGACCAGUGGCGAAGGCGACUUUCUGGCCUAUAACUGACGCUGAGGCGCGAAAGCGUGGGGAGCAAACAGG
rnacentral:rRNA from 1 species